GUUUUCGAGAAAAACCUUUCCCUUGACAAAUUAAUGUCUUGUCACCUUUCGUUGACAAUGGCAUGCCAAACGAAUUCUGCGAAGAGACACUUGAAGUAAUUAUAAAUCAAAACGUCUUUUGCUCGAUUGAACCAACGUAA
rnacentral:sRNA from 1 species